AUGCAAGUCGAACGAGACUUUCGGGUCUAGUGGCGCACGGGUGCGUAACGCGUGGGAAUCUGCCCUUGGGUUCGGAAUAACUUCGGGAAACUGAAGCUAAUACCGGAUGAUGACGUAAGUCCAAAGAUUUAUCGCCCAAGGAUGAGCCCGCGUAGGAUUAGCUAGUUGGUGAGGUAAAGGCUCACCAAGGCGACGAUCCUUAGCUGGUCUGAGAGGAUGAUCAGCCACACUGGGACUGAGACACGGCCCAGGCUCCUACGGGAGGCAGCAGUGGGGAAUAUUGGACAAUGGGCGAAAGCCUGAUCCAGCAAUGCCGCGUGAGUGAUGAAGGCCUUAGGGUUGUAAAGCUCUUUUACCCGGGAUGAUAAUGACAGUACCGGGAGAAUAAGCUCCGGCUAACUCCGUGCCAGCAGCCGCGGUAAUACGGAGGGAGCUAGCGUUGUUCGGAAUUACUGGGCGUAAAGCGCACGUAGGCGGCUUUGUAAGUUAGAGGUGAAAGCCUGGAGCUCAACUCCAGGAUUGCCUUUGAUACUGCAUCGCUUGAAUUCAGGAGAGGUGAGUGGAAUUCCGAGUGUAGAGGUGAAAUUCGUAGAUAUUCGGAAGAA
rnacentral:rRNA from 1 species